GAUGAACGCUAGCGGCAGGCUUAACACAUGCAAGUCGAGGGGUAGAAGGAGCUUGCUCCUUUGAGACCGGCGCACGGGUGCGUAACGCGUAUGCAAUCUACCUUUUGCAGAGGGAUAGCCCAGAGAAAUUUGGAUUAAUACCUCAUAGUAUAGCAGUUUCGCAUGAAACCACUAUUAAAGUCACAACGGCAAAAGAUGAGCAUGCGUCCCAUUAGCUAGUUGGUAAGGUAACGGCUUACCAAGGCUACGAUGGGUAGGGGUCCUGAGAGGGAGAUCCCCCACACUGGUACUGAGACACGGACCAGACUCCUACGGGAGGCAGCAGUGAGGAAUAUUGGACAAUGGGCGCAAGCCUGAUCCAGCCAUGCCGCGUGCAGGAUGACGGUCCUAUGGAUUGUAAACUGCUUUUGUACAGGAAGAAACACUCCCUCGUGAGGGAGCUUGACGGUACUGUAAGAAUAAGGAUCGGCUAACUCCGUGCCAG
rnacentral:rRNA from 1 species